UACGUAGGGGGCAAGCGUUGUCCGGAUUUAUUGGGCGUAAAGAGCGUGUAGGCGGCCAGGUAGGUCCGUUGUGAAAACUCGAGGCUCAACCUCGAGACGCCGAUGGAAACCAUCUGGCUAGAGUCCGGAAGAGGCGAGUGGAAUUCCUGGUGUAGCGGUGGAAUGCGCAGAUAUCAGGAGGAACACCAAUAGCGAAGGCAGCUCGCUGGGACGUUACUGACACUGAGGCGCGAAAGCGUGGGGAGCGAACAGG
rnacentral:rRNA from 1 species